rnacentral:rRNA from 1 species
UACAGAGGGGGCAAGCGUUGUUCGGAAUUACUGGGCGUAAAGGGCGCGUAGGUGGCCUUCUAAGUCGAACGUGAAAUCCCUGGGCUCAACCCAGGAACUGCGUCCGAGACUGGGAGGCUUGAAUCCGGGAGAGGGAUGCAGAAUUCCAGGUGUAGCGGUGAAAUGCGUAGAUAUCUGGAGGAAUACCGGUGGCGAAGGCGGCAUCCUGGACCGGCAUUGACGCUGAGGAGCGAAAGCUAGGGGAGCAAACGGG